rnacentral:rRNA from 1 species
GGUGAAAGCACAAAGGGCGUAUGGUGGAUGCCUACGCACCAAAUGGCGAAGAAGGACGUGGCGAACUGCGAUAAGCCCCGGGAAGCUGUAAGCGAGCUUUGAUCCGGGGAUUUCCGAAUGGGGCAACCCGGCAGGUUGAAGACCUGUCAUCCGGCACCGAUUGACCAUCCCUGUUUCCUGAUAAUGGGAAGCGGAAUGGGGUGUUCAAUCGGUGCUGGAGGCGAACGGCGUGAACUGAAACAUCUUAGUAGCGCCAGGAAGAGAAAGUAAAAACGAUUCCCUCAGUAGUGGCGAACGAACGGGGAAGAGCCUAAACCGGCCUUUUGGCCGGGGUUGUGGGACGGCGACAUCUGAUCUCAACUUAUAGACGAACCGAUCUGGAAAGUUCGACCGCAGGGGGUGAAAGUCCCGUAGUCGAAAUGGGUUGAUAUUGGUAGCCGGAUCCCGAGUAGCCCGGGACACGAGAAAUCCUGGGUGAAUCCGCGAGGACCAUCUCGUAAGGCUAAAUACAUUUGGUGACUGAUAGCGUAGCAGUACCGUGAGGGAAAGGUGAAAAGCACCCCGGGAGGGGAGUGAAAUAGAACCUGAAACCGUAUGCCUACAAGCGGUCAGAGCUGGCGCCAACAAUGUUCGUGAAAACGUGCAAGCGUGAAAGGGUGUAACCCGGGUUCAAGCCUUCGAUGCGAGGUUUGGCCGGAUGUUACACGUUUCCACUGCUCCACGAUUUUCACGGAUAUCGUUGGCGCUGGUGAUGGCGUGCCUUUUGCAUAAUGAGCCGACGAGUUAAUGUCAUAAGCGAGGUUAAGUGUUACAGGCACGGAGCCGUAGCGAAAGCGAGUCUUAACAGGGCGUGAAGUUUAUGGUAUUAGACCCGAAACCGGGUGAUCUACCCAUGGUCAGGUUGAAGGUUGGGUAAAACCAACUGGAGGACCGCACCAACCGUUGUUGAAAAAGCGGUGGAUGAACUGUGGGUAGGGGUGAAAGGCCAAACAAACCCGGAGAUAGCUGGUUCUCUCCGAAACAUAUUUAGGUAUGGCCUCAGGUGGACAUUAACGGAGGUAGAGCACUGAAUGGGCUAGGGGGCUCACAAGCUUACUGAACCCAAUCAAACUCCGAAUGCCGUUAAUCAAUACCUGGGAGACAGGGCGUGAGGGAUAAGCUUCACGUGCGAGAGGGGAACAACCCAGACUGUCAGCUAAGGUCCUCAAAUAGAUGCUUAGUGCGUAAGGAUGUUCAAUUGCCCAGACAGCCAGGAUCUUGGCUCAGAAGCAGCCAUGAUUUAAAGAGUGCGUAACAGCUCACUGGUCGAGUGGUAGAGCACCGAAGAUAAUCGGGACUAUAAGCAUCUUACCGAAGCUGCGGAGCAGCGCGCUUGCGCGUUGCUGGUAGGAGAGCAUUGUGCCUGCGCCGAAGGUGUAUUGUAAGAUAUGCUGGAGCGAGCACAAGAGACCAUGUCGGCAUGAGUAACGACAAUGCGGGUGAGAAACCCGCACACCACAAGCCCGAGGAUUCCUGAGUAAAGUUAAUCUUCUCAGGGUUAGUCGGCCCCUAAGGUGUAGCGAAUAGCGAAGCUGAUGGGAAUCAGGUUAAUAUUCCUGAACCUGUGUAUGAUGCGAUGGAGUGACGCGACGGUGCAGCGGGGACUGCUGUUGGAAUAGCAGUUGAACGCGUGUAGGAGGUGAUCCAGGCAAAUCCGGGUCACGCAUACUCCGAGGCGUGGGACGAGGCGCAAGCCGCAAAGCCCGUGUACAGACGUCGCCGAGAAAUAGCUUCUAAGCUUCAGUCAUGCACAGACCGUACCGCAAACCGACUCAGGUGGGCGAGGAGAAUAUCCUAAGGUGUUCGAGCGAACUCUGGUUAAGGAACUAGGCAAAAUAACCCCGUAACUUCGGGAGAAGGGGUGCCCCGUUAUCGUGAAGGAGAACAUCCCAAGCGAGAGGGGGCCGCAGUGAAGAGGCCCAAGCGACUGUUUAUCAAAAACACAGGUCUAUGCGAAGGGGAAACCCACGGUAUAUAGACUGACACCUGCCCGGUGCCGGAAGGUUAAAUGGAGAGGUCAUCCCUCUUUUACCGAGCGCAGAGGUUCGUGACAAGGUGAAACAGAUCGUGAAAACGUGAAAUAUGCCGUGAAAACGUGCAACCAAGGCCGGGACUUGUGAUCGCAAGUCCAUAGCAAGGUUACAUGCUUCCACCCUUCCACGCUUCCACGUCUGCACGCAUCCACGAUCCUGCACUCCGUAAAAGAGGGAGAAGCUUCGAAAUGAAGCCCCGGUAAACGGCGGCCGUAACUAUAACGGUCCUAAGGUAGCGAAAUUCCUUGUCGGGUAAGUUCCGACCUGCACGAAUGGUGUAACGAUUUGGGCGCUGUCUCAACCAGGGGCUCGGUGAAAUUGAAGUAGCGGUGAAGAUGCCGCUUACCCGCGAACGGACGGAAAGACCCCGUGAACCUUUACUGUAGCUUGGUAUUGUAAAUUGGUGCAGUAUGUGUAGGAUAGGUGGGAGGCUAUGAAGCGUGCACGCUAGUGUGUGUGGAGCCGACGUUGAAAUACCACCCUUAUUGUAUUGAUUUACUAACGAUCGUAAAGCGAUCGGACAUUGCCAGGUGGGCAGUUUGACUGGGGCGGUCGCCUCCGAAAGAGUAACGGAGGCUUGCCAAGGUUCCCUCCGGCUGGUUGGUAAUCAGCCACAGAGCAUAAAGGUAUAAGGGAGCUUGACUGCGAGACUGACGGGUCGAGCAGGUGGGAAACCAGGUCUUAGUGAUCCGGCGGUCCUGAAUGGAAGGGCCGUUGCUCAAAGGAUAAAAGGUACUCCGGGGAUAACAGGCUGAUACCGCCCAAGCGUCCAUAGCGACGGCGGUGUUUGGCACCUCGAUGUCGGCUCAACUCAUCCUGGGGCUGAAGAAGGUCCCAAGGGUUCGGCUGUUCGCCGAUUAAAGAGUUACGCGAGCUGGGUUCAGAACGUCGUGAGACAGUUCGGUCCCU